AGUCGAGGGGUAUAGUUCUUCGGAACUAGAGACCGGCGCACGGGUGCGUAACGCGUAUGCAAUCUACCUUUCACAGAGGGAUAGCCCAGAGAAAUUUGGAUUAAUACCUCAUAGUAUAGCAGUUUCGCAUGAAACCACUAUUAAAGUCACAACGGUGAAAGAUGAGCAUGCGUCCCAUUAGCUAGUUGGUAAGGUAACGGCUUACCAAGGCAACGAUGGGUAGGGGUCCUGAGAGGGAGAUCCCCCACACUGGUACUGAGACACGGACCAGACUCCUACGGGAGGCAGCAGUGAGGAAUAUUGGACAAUGGGCGCAAGCCUGAUCCAGCCAUGCCGCGUGCAGGAUGACGGUCCUAUGGAUUGUAAACUGCUUUUAUACGAGAAGAAACCCUCCGACGUGUCGGAGCUUGACGGUAUCGUAAGAAUAAGGAUCGGCUAACUCCGUGCCAGCAGCCGCGGUAAUACGGAGGAUCCAAGCGUUAUCCGGAAUCAUUGGGUUUAAAGGGUCCGUAGGCGGUCAGGUAAGUCAGUGGUGAAAGCCCAUCGCUCAAUGGUGGAACGGCCAUUGAUACUGUCUGACUUGAAUUAUUAGGAAGUAACUAGAAUAUGUAGUGUAGCGGUGAAAUGCUUAGAGAUUACAUGGAAUACCAAUUGCGAAGGCAGGUUACUACUAAUAUAUUGACGCUGAUGGACGAAAGCGUGGGUAGCG
rnacentral:rRNA from 1 species